GUGACAGAUUCCCUCAGUUCUUAUUUAUCUGGGAAUGUCUUAACUUCUCCUUCAUAUUUGAAGGAUAGUUUUGCUGAAUAUAGAAUUUUUGGUCAACAGUUAUUUUCUUUCAGCACUUUGAAAAUGUAAUCCUACCACCUCUGGCCUCCGUGAUUUAAGAAGUCAGCCAUUGGUCUUAUUGAGGAUCCCUUGCACAUGCCCCCCGGUACAUAGUUGUAUCUUCUUCGUUGUGGGUCCUUCCAGUUGUGGCACGUGGGACGCUGCCUCAGCGUGGUUCGAUGAGCAGUGCCAUGUCCGUGCCCAGGAUCUGAACCAACGAAACACUGGGCCGCCUGCAACGGAGCAUGCAAACCCAACCACUCGGCCACGGGGCCAGCCCCAAAGAAAAUAUUUUUUAAAAAAAAGAAAAGAAAAAGAUUAACAAUCCAGAUUCUUCACUAUCUCCCACCCAGUAGACACUAGAUGUCUAUAAACCAUUAGUCCAUUUACAGAGCUCACCAAGUGGUCAGACCAUGAAACCAAGGCCUACCAUUGCUCCAUUGCUGUUAGUGACAGGGAAUGACUUAUUGGCCACAAACAAAACAAAAUCCCACAAAAUCAUUUGAGAGGAAAUUAGAAUUAGAAAAAUUACAAUUGGAAAAUCAUAAUUCUAUUGCCACUUCAGACUCCCCGCUAGGAACCAAAAAGAGACCUGCCUGAGCUUAGUCUGUGAGGCACGCAUUCAGGAAACGUCACUCACCCCGCUCUGUCAGGUGAACUGUGGCAUCUCAGUGGAAGCCGUCCGACACUGUGCAGGAAAACUUUCAGGAAAGAGUGAUUAAGAAUUGCCAUUCAGAAAAUCUGCAAAGUCACACAGCCCAGGCAUGCACAAAAGCAGAGAUUGUGACCUGAAAUGACCACAGAACCAAAGAUCCUUCUUCCCACAGAACCCAAGGACGAGGAAAUGACUGGAACUUGAAAGUCAGACUCUUACCAGAAGUGAAGGGUACCUCAUUCAGGAAGAUCCGGUGUUCAAAUUUCUUCCUUGCCUCAUCAUAAAAGUUUA
rnacentral:lncRNA from 1 species